UCGACAGGUUCUUUUUCUAUUAAAAGUGCUUAUGGAAAAAUUCGGGAAAGAUUGUGAAACCUAAAAGAGAUAGUGUGGCAGAUCCUCUAGAAUUCCAAGAACCCCAACGAAUUAGGUUCUUUAUUUGGCUGGCUCUUAAGCAUCGUUUGCUUACCAAUGUGGAAAGAGUACGUCGGGGAAUUGGGCAUGAUACGACUUGUGGUGUUUGUGGGCAUGGGCCAGUCAGAAAUGAAACAGGUUUUGCUACAGCAGGAGGAAUUGUUUGUGAUCAAAAUGGGAGGUAGAUUCUUGGCUUUAACAGCUAAAAAAGAAAUUAUGUCAGUCUCCUCUUACCUGCCCGCCUGGAAUUUUUGGGAGGCUACCUAGGUGUUCUUAAGUAUGCUUGACAGUUGAAACCAACUGAUAUUUGCCUUUGACCCUACUGAAGCUGUAGAGGAUCGUUUCCUGCUGGUAUCAACUAAAGCAUGGAAUGGUCACAAUGUUCACUCACACACUUUCUACACUCUUCCGAGAUUUUGAAGCUGUUUAUCCAUAUAGAACAAAGAAUUAUAUCCUAAAAUUUGAUAUCAAUUACUUUCACUUGAAAUUGAUAGGGGCUGCGCGAACGCAAGCCCCCACUGCCACAAAUUAUGACGUAGGCUCUCCCUCUUGGGGAGACCUUAAAGCAGCACCCCUCCCAAGUGCAAUGGAGGUCACUGCUCUAGGCCAUGAGUCUUCCUGAUCACUCAUUGACCCCGUCCAGGUAAGUAUGUUUUAAUGUUGCUCUAUCCUCUCUCCUUAUACACCACCCUUUAUGUUUUGUUUACCAUACGCUAGCAAUGUGGGAUUCAGGUUGCAUUGUGGGCAUAAAGAUUUAGAACAUUUUUACCUUUCAAUACUUCUAAACACUAAUUAUUAACAUUUCCCAAUCUUGAUUUCUGUCAAUAAUAAUAGUUUUUUUAUCAACAUUGUUCUUAA